rnacentral:tRNA from 3 species
GGCUCCGUGGCGGAAUUGGUAGACGCGUGUGAUUCAAAAUCAUAUUCCAAUGGAGUGCCGGUUCGAUUCCGGCCGGGGCUACCA